GGCUAACUACGUGCCAGCAGCCGCGGUAAUACGUAGGGGGCUAGCGUUAUCCGGAUUUACUGGGCGUAAAGGGUGCGUAGGCGGUCUUUCAAGUCAGGAGUGAAAGGCUACGGCUCAACCGUAGUAAGCUCUUGAAACUGGGAGACUUGAGUGCAGGAGAGGAGAGUGGAAUUCCUAGUGUAGCGGUGAAAUGCGUAGAUAUUAGGAGGAACACCAGUAGCGAAGGCGGCUCUCUGGACUGUAACUGACGCUGAGGCACGAAAGCGUGGGGAGCGAACAGGAUUAGAUACCCUAGUAGUC
rnacentral:rRNA from 1 species